GCUGGGUGUGGUGGCGCGCACCUGUAGUCCCUGCUACUAGGGAGGCUGAGGCAGUAGAAUCGCUUGAACCCAGGAGAAGGAGGUUGCAGUGAGCCAAGAUUGCACCACUGCACUCCAGCCUGGGUGAUAGAGCGAGACUGUCUCAA
rnacentral:SRP_RNA from 1 species